rnacentral:rRNA from 1 species
AUUGAACGCUGGCGGCAGGCCUAAUAAAAGCACGUCGAGCGGAGCGGCGGACGGGUGAGUAAUGCCUAGGAAUCUGCCUGGUAGUGGGGGAUAACGUCCGGGAACGGGCGCUAAUACCGCAUACUAUCAGAUGAGCCUAGGUCGGAUUAGCUAGUUGGUGGGGUAAAGGCCUACCAAGGCGACGAUCCGUAACUGGGCGUAGAUGAUGAUCAGUCACACUGGAACUGAGACACGGUCCAGACUCCUACGGUAUGCAGCAGUGGGGAAUAUUGGACAAUGGGCGAAAGCCUGUUCCAGCCAUGCCGCGUGUGUGAAGAAGGUCUUCGGAUUGUAAAGCACUUUAAGUUGUUAGGCGUUACCAACAGAAUAAGCACCGGCUAACUUCGUGCCAGCCGCCGCGGUAAUUC